GAUGAACGCUGGCGGCGUGCCUAAUACAUGCAAGUCGAGCGAACGGACGAGAAGCUUGCUUCUCUGAUGUUAGCGGCGGACGGGUGAGUAACACGUGGAUAACCUACCUAUAAGACUGGGAUAACUUCGGGAAACCGGAGCUAAUACCGGAUAAUAUUUUGAACCGCAUGGUUCAAAAGUGAAAGACGGUCUUGCUGUCACUUAUAGAUGGAUCCGCGCUGCAUUAGCUAGUUGGUAAGGUAACGGCUUACCAAGGCAACGAUGCAUAGCCGACCUGAGAGGGUGAUCGGCCACACGGGAACUGAGACACGGUCCAGACUCCUACGGGAGGCAGCAGUAGGGAAUCGGCCGCAAUGGGCGAAAGCCUGACGGAGCAACGCCGCGUGAGUGAUGAAGGUCUUCGGAUCGUAAAGCUCUGUUAUUAGGGAAGAACAUAUGUGUAAGUAACUGUGCACAUCGUGACGGUACCUAAUCAGAAAGCCACGGCUAACUACGUG
rnacentral:rRNA from 1 species